rnacentral:lncRNA from 1 species
GGUGGGAGAACUCGAUCUGGUAGAGAGAUUGUGUGCGCGGCUAAGGAUUUGUUUGUUUCAUCGAAAUUGAUUUUUGAAUUAAAGUGGAUUUGAGUUUAGAAAAAAAAAAUUAGCAAAACCGCUCUUAAGAAAAUAAAAAAGAGAAAAUAUUUUUUUCUGAGAAAAAAAUAGCAUGCUACACACUUGGUUUAUUUCUUUUAACAAUAAACUUAGCUAAAAAUAUAAAUCAACUAGAAUUUGAAUUUAAAUUUGUGAAUACCAACUAUCGAACUUUUUACCACUUGUGCCAGAGAGGUCAGUAAGAAAAAAUAUUCUUAAUUUCACAAU